rnacentral:rRNA from 1 species
UGGCAGAGGCCAUUGCUAUCAGGGUCUGACUAAGCCAUGCGAGUCGAGAGGUGUAAGACCUCGGCAUACUGCUCAGUAACACGUGGUUAACCUGCCCUAAGGUGGAGAAUACUCCCGGGAAACUGGGGCUAAUGCUCCAUAGUGGAUAUGUCCUGGAAUGGUAUAUCCUCGAAAGAUCCGUCGCCUUAGGAUGGGACUGCGUCCGAUUAGGUUGUUGGCGGGGUAACGGCCCACCAAGCCAUUGAUCGGUACGGGUUGUGGGAGCAAGAUCCCGGAGAUGGAUUCUGAGACAUGAAUCCAGGCCCUACGGGGCGCAGCAGGCGCGCAAACUUUACAAUGCGAGCAAUCGUGAUAAGGAAACCCUGAGUGCCUGUCGAUGCAGGCUGUUCAUAUAUCUAAAUCAUAUGUGAAGAAAGGGCAGGGCAAGACCGGUGCCAGCCGCCGCGGUAAUACCGGCUGCUCGAGUGAUGGCCACUAUUACUGGGUUUAAAGCGUCCGUAGCUUGACUGUUAGGUCUCUUGGGAAAUCUUCACGCUCAACGUGAAGGCGUCUAAGAGAUACCGGCAGUCUUGGAACUGGGAGAGGUAAACCGUACUUCGGGGGUAGGAGUGAAAUCUUGUAAUCCUCGAGGGACGACCUAUGGCGAAGGCAGUUUACCAGAACAGCUUCGACAGUGAGGGACGAAAGCUGGGGGAGCAAACGGGAUUAGAUACCCCGGUAGUCCCAGCCGUAAACAAUGUGCGUUAGGUGUGUCGGUAACCACGUGUUACUGAUGCGCCGAAGAGAAAUCGUGAAACGCACCACCUGGGAAGUACGGUCGCAAGGCUGAAACUUAA